CAAAUUGAGAGUUUGAUCCUGGCUCAGGACGAACGCUGGCGGCGUGCCUAAUACAUGCAAGUCGAGCGAGCUGAAUUCAAAGAUUCCUUCGGGAUGAUUUGUUGGACGCUAGCGGCGGAUGGGUGAGUAACACGUGGGCAAUCUGCCCUAAAGACUGGGAUACCACUUGGAAACAGGUGCUAAUACCGGAUAACAACAUGAAUCGCAUGAUUCAAGUUUGAAAGGCGGCGCAAGCUGUCACUUUAGGAUGAGCCCGCGGCGCAUUAGCUAGUUGGUGGGGUAAAGGCCUACCAAGGCAAUGAUGCGUAGCCGAGUUGAGAGACUGAUCGGCCACAUUGGGACUGAGACACGGCCCAAACUCCUACGGGAGGCAGCAGUAGGGAAUCUUCCACAAUGGACGCAAGUCUGAUGGAGCAACGCCGCGUGAGUGAAGAAGGUCUUCGGAUCGUAAAGCUCUGUUGUUGGUGAAGAAGGAUAGAGGCAGUAACUGGUCUUUAUUUGACGGUAAUCAACCAGAAAGUCACGGCUAACUACGUGCCAGCAGCCGCGGUAAUACGUAGGUGGCAAGCGUUGUCCGGAUUUAUUGGGCGUAAAGCGAGCGCAGGCGGAAUGAUAAGUCUGAUGUGAAAGCCCACGGCUCAACCGUGGAACUGCAUCGGAAACUGUCAUUCUUGAGUGCAGAAGAGGAGAGUGGAACUCCAUGUGUAGCGGUGGAAUGCGUAGAUAUAUGGAAGAACACCAGUGGCGAAGGCGGCUCUCUGGUCUGCAACUGACGCUGAGGCUCGAAAGCAUGGGUAGCGAACAGGAUUAGAUACCCUGGUAGUCCAUGCCGUAAACGAUGAGCGCUAGGUGUUGGGGACUUUCC
rnacentral:rRNA from 1 species